AAAAAAAAAGGAAUUAUUUCUUUAGAGAGCUUGAGCUGAAAUAAACCAUUGUUCUUCCAUGUGCAAAGACAAAUUGCUGCUCCCAACCAGCUUCCAGCUGCUCCGAUGUGAAGGACAAAGCCUUGCUGAGAAGAGUGGAUGUUCUUUUAUUCAACCUUUGUGUUUAAUUCUGGAAAGCCUUAGCAUUGAGUAAUACAAAUUCAGAGCCACUGCCAGAUAAUUGUUGUGUAAAGAAACCCACAAGGCACGCUCACACACACUGCAGCGGCAGAUUUCAGAAGGCCUGUUAAAUUCAGCAGCCUCAAUUCUUCUACUUCACAUAUACAGAGUGUGUCAUUUUAUCCUUUGUCAUAAUACCACGUGUGUGGAGGGCUGCCAUCUAGUAGAACUUAAAACCAACGAGAAAACCUGGACUGACCUGCAGUUCUGCACUUUUGUUCUAUGAAAACAACCUAGCUGUUCAGCUUACUGCUGCUGAGCCAAGAGGGGAUAAUCUAAAUCACUGACACUCAGCUCUCGCUGAUGAUAAAAUACUGCUGACCAGCCUCUCUCAGUCCCAAUCUGAAGCAAUGAAAGCUACAGGGCAGAGAUUUAGGUGGGUCUCAUGGGACAGGGACACAGAAAACACAGGAAAGUUUCCUUAGGUGUCACAGCAACCAGACAUCAACAAAAUGAAAAGUCUAAAUGAAUCACCUGAUCACACCUUGUAUCAUUUUUCUUAGUAAUCAUUAAGCGUUCUCUUCAA